rnacentral:rRNA from 1 species
GCAAGGGCCCAGNCCCUACGGGGCGCAGCAGUCGCGAAAACUUUGCAAUAAGCGAAAGCUUGACAGGGCUAUCCCGAGUGCCAUCCGCUGAGGAAGGCUUUUACCCAGUCUAGAACGCUGGGGGAAUAAGGAGAGGGCAAGUCUGGUGUCAGCCGCCGCGGUAAUACCAGCUCUCCGAGUGGUGUGGAUGUUUAUUGGGCCUAAAGCAUCCGUAGCUGGCUAGGUCAGUCCCUUGUUAAAUCCACCGAAUUAAUCGUUGGAUUGCGGGGGAUACUGCUUGGCUAGGGGACGAGAGAGGCAGACGGUAUUUUCGGGGUAGGGGUGAAAUCCUAUAAUCCCGGGAAGACCACCAGUGGCGAAGGCUGUCUGYUAGAACGCGCCCGACGGUGAGGGAUGAAAGCUGGGGGAGCGAACCGGAUUAGAUACCCCGGGUAGUCCCASCUGUAAACGAUGCAGACCUAGGUGUUUGGAUCGGCCACGUGCCGUUCUAGUGCCGCAGGGAAGCUGUUAAGUCUGCCGCCUGGGGAGUACGAUCGCAAGAUUGAAACUUAAAGGAAUUGC